rnacentral:rRNA from 1 species
AUUGAACGCUGGCGGCAGGCCUAACACAUGCAAGUCGAACGAGUGGCGGACGGUUGAGGACUACAUCGGAAUCUACUCUGUCGUGGGGGAUAACGUAGGGAAACUUACGCUAAUACCGCAUACGAUUGAAUGAGCCGAUGUCGGAUUAGCUAGUUGGCGGGGUAAAGGCCCACCAAGGCGACGAUCCGUAGCUGGUCUGAGAGGAUGAUCAGCCACACUGGAACUGAGACACGGUCCAGACUCCUACGGGAGGCAGCAGUGGGGAAUAUUGGACAAUGGGCGCAAGCCUGAUCCAGCCAUACCGCGUGGGUGAAGAAGGCCUUCGGGUUGUAAAGUACUUUCAGCGGGGAGGCGUUACCCGCAGAAGAAGCACCGGCUAACUCCGUGCCAGCCGCCGCGGUAAUAC